CUACUUAGGCUAGUGCACUGAUGGGGAUCGUGAGCCAUCCUUUAGGUCGGCCGGUCCAGUGAUCGAGUUUGUGGCCACAUUCUCGUUUUACAUGAUGGUUCAGAUAUGGUACAUGAUGGGGGAUGACGAUGAUGUUUGCAUGCGCAUGCACCUUUUUAUGGAAAUGAUUUUAGUGUCUCUCGACCUUUUAAAGUAAAACCCGAGUUUCACUCAAUGGUGGCUUGACAAAACCUAUCCGGUUGAGCGAGGACGGGAGGCGGAGGAUGUUGAGCAAUGGGCCAAGAUUCAUAUUCAAUAAACGUUCCGGUUGCUACUGUGUCUUCAUACAUAGUAGUAGUCAAACUCUCAAUUGCUUCUGCUACUCUAAGUUUUACAACUAUGUUUUUCUUUAAAUUUGUUGGACUAUUUUUAUUCGAACCAUGUUGUUUCAUGACCUAAGACAAUGAUUUGUUAAUGAAGUUUCGUCUUUCGAUCUACA